rnacentral:lncRNA from 1 species
GGAAGAGGAACAAGCAGGGGUGGGAGGCUUCAGUGUCUCUGAAUGCACGAGAAGCCUGCAUGUAAGUGAGUUUUUUAUGGCCAUCAGGUGCUGGGUGACAUCUGGAUUGAUGUGGGAUGAAAGAGAGGUGCCUGGAGGCUGGGAAUCACCAAGAGGAAUGGAACCACCGUCUUGCAGAAUGUUCCACAGAACAAAUGGACCUGUGUGCUAGUCCUCAACCAACUCUACAUCUGUAGAUUCUACACCUUGACCACAGUUACCACCAAUUUGGAUUUGGCUUUGCAUUUUGUUUCCCCUCUGCAAAGGGCUGCAGAAAUGCCAACAAACCAAUGGACCUGAUCUUGGAUGAGGCCAAAGUCUGGAACAGAAGAUCCUGAUUCACUUAAUUUCCCUGGGGAUUGGAAAGACUUCAUUGUUGAAAAUAGUUCUAAAAAGUACAUGGCCACAGAGAUGACUACCAAACAACCAAGCCAAUCAAGGAAGAGGCCAAUGCAGGAGAGAAGAGGAUUCUCUAGUUCAGCACAAAUAGCAGGAGGAAGAGGGAAAACAACAACCCCCAC